CAAUAAAUUUCAUUCACUCCGCAUAUUCAAUCCUAUAGAUACCCUUUUAAUUCUUCAAUCUCAGACAUAACUCGAUUUCACAAAACAGUCAAGAGUAAUGAAACCCACUUCAUUAAAAAUCCCGAUUCACCAUUACAACACUGAUUUCAGCAACGAUUGCCUCAGUCUUCCCAAAACCCUAUGAAGAAAAAAAACCCAAUUCU
rnacentral:lncRNA from 1 species